AGCAGCAGCCGCGGUAAUACGAAGGGUGCAAGCGUUAAUCGGAAUUACUGGGCGUAAAGCGUGCGUAGGUGGUGGUUUAAGUCCGUUGUGAAAGCCCUGGGCUCAACCUGGGAAUUGCAGUGGAUACUGGGUCACUAGAGUGUGGUAGAGGAUAGUGGAAUUUCCGGUGUAGCAGUGAAAUGCGUAGAGAUCGGAAGGAACAUCUGUGGCGAAGGCGACUAUCUGGGCCAACACUGACACUGAGGCACGAAAGCGUGGGGAGCAAACAGGAUUAGAUACCCCCGUAGUCCCUGUCUCUUAUAC
rnacentral:rRNA from 1 species